AUUGAACGCUGGCGGCAUGCCUUACACAUGCAAGUCGAACGGCAGCAUGAUCUAGCUUGCUAGAUUGAUGGCGAGUGGCGAACGGGUGAGUAAUACAUCGGAACGUGCCCUGUAGUGGGGGAUAACUAGUCGAAAGAUUAGCUAAUACCGCAUACGACCUGAGGGUGAAAGUGGGGGACCGCAAGGCCUCAUGCUAUAGGAGCGGCCGAUGUCUGAUUAGCUAGUUGGUGAGGUAAAGGCUCACCAAGGCGACGAUCAGUAGCUGGUCUGAGAGGACGAUCAGCCACACUGGGACUGAGACACGGCCCAGACUCCUACGGGAGGCAGCAGUGGGGAAUUUUGGACAAUGGGGGCAACCCUGAUCCAGCAAUGCCGCGUGUGUGAAGAAGGCCUUCGGGUUGUAGAGCACUUUUGUCCGGAAAGAAAUCGCACUACUAAUAUUAGGUGUGGAUGACGGUACCGGAAGAAUAAGGACCGGCUAACUACGUGCCAGCCGCCGCCGUAAUAC
rnacentral:rRNA from 1 species